rnacentral:rRNA from 1 species
GAUGAACGCUGGCGGCGUGCCUAAUACAUGGAAGUAGAACGCUGAAGGAGGAGCUUGCUCUUCUGGAUGAGUUGCGAACGGGUGAGUAACGCGUAGGUAACCUGCCUGGUAGCGGGGGAUAACUAUUGGAAACGAUAGCUAAUACCGCAUGACAACAGUUAUUGCAUGAUAACUGUUUAAAAGGGGCAACUGCUCCACUACCAGAUGGACCUGCGUUGUAUUAGCUAGUUGGUGAGGUAACGGCUCACCAAGGCGACGAUACAUAGCCGACCUGAGAGGGUGAUCGGCCACACUGGGACUGAGACACGGCCCAGACUCCUACGGGAGGCAGCAGUAGGGAAUCUUCGGCAAUGGACGGAAGUCUGACCGAGCAACGCCGCGUGAGUGAAGAAGGUUUUCGGAUCGUAAAGCUCUGUUGUAAGAGAAGAACGAGUGUGAGAGUGGAAAGUUCACACUGUGACGGUAUCUUACCAGAAAGGGACGGCUAACUACGUG